rnacentral:lncRNA from 1 species
GGAUCCUACGGUGCCAAACUGUAAUUUUAUACCAACAGUACUGGAAGCAAAUGUUUCAGCUGGUGACGAAUUGUCUUGUAAAGUUACCUAUCUACAAAGGGAAUUGAUGAUUCGGAUCAGUAAACAGUCAAAUUAUUACUUGUUUUUUGUUUAUAAUUACUUUGUUCAUCAAAGUUGGAUGAAAUUUAUUUUCUGCAGAAUAAUUUUACUUGUCCCGUUGGACAAGCUUGAUAUAGCUUUUACUUGUCCGACCUUUUUUCCCUCUGGUACCGGACAAUCGGACAAGCAUUAUUGUCGAGGCCUGAAUAUGCUUUGAUAAUAAUGUAUUAAAAGGCAAAACAGAAAUCUUCAUUUUUGCAAUAGUGUACACAAUGAGCUACUGUACUAUGAAUUUAAAUACAAAUUGGAAGACUUUUUGAAAAUGACCCUUGUGUGAAAAAUAUUCAGAGAACAAAUACCUACCUUUUAUAAAUAUAUAUAUAUACAUA